rnacentral:tRNA from 1 species
UGUCCCUUGGUGUAAUGGUAGCACAACAGACCUUGGCUCUGUUAGUCUUUGUUCGAAUCAAAGAGGGACAA